AUUGAACGCUGGCGGCAUGCUUUACACAUGCAAGUCGAACGGUAACAGGUUAAGCUGACGAGUGGCGAACGGGUGAGUAAUGCAUCGGAACGUGCCCGAUCGUGGGGGAUAACGUAGCGAAAGUUACGCUAAUACCGCAUACGAUCUGAGGAUGAAAGCGGGGGACCGUAAGGCCUCGCGCGAUCGGAGCGGCCGGUGUCAGAUUAGGUAGUUGGUGGGGUAAAGGCCCACAAAGCGGACGAUCUGUAGCUGGUCUGAGAGGACGACCAGCCACACUGGGACUGAGACACGGCCCAGACUCCUAAGGGAGGCAGAAGUGGGGAAUUUUGGACAAUGGGCGCAAGCCUGAUCCAGCAAUGCCGCGUGCAGGAAGAAGGCCUUCGGGUUGUAAACUGCUUUUGUACGGAGCGAAAAGGCUCUCUCUAAUACAGGGGGCUCAUGACGGUACCGUAAGAAUAAGCACCGGCUAACUACGUGCCAGCAGCCGCGGUAA
rnacentral:rRNA from 1 species